rnacentral:lncRNA from 1 species
GGUGUUUCUGGCAUUUUUGACCGCCGUAACAUGCAAAACGUACCGGCAGUUUUAACCGCCAGAAAGUACUCCUGAGACCUAUGCUUGUAGUGGCAUGUCCAACUGCCAGAAUUUACUUCUGAUAUUUAAUCAUUGAGCUUCCACAAUUGACAUAUAAAAUGCCACAAUGCUCAAAAAAUUGAAAUUAUUUUAUUUAUAAUAUUAUUAUUUCAUAGGAAUAUAUAAUUGUACAUUUCUAUUUUUUGAACAAAAUUAAAGGACAAACAAAUUUUGAACAUUGUCAUUGAUAUAUUUAUAAUUCAACUCAAGUGGAGUUUGAUGCAAAUAUCCAAAACAAGUCUCAUAUAUAAACAAGUCUCCAAACAUAAAGUUACACAAACCAUUGCCACCAUCUUUAGCUAUUCUCAAAAUAACAAGUUUCAAAACAUAAAAAUGACUAGACAACUGAUGUCACUAAAAUUAGGACUCUCAUGCUCCACGUGCGUUGCUUUCAUCUGAUGAUCUAGUUAUGUCAUUGGGUGUUGGAGAUUCACUUCCUACGUUUGAUGCCUGUAAAAAGUAUUAUAAUUGUUAACUCCUAUAUAUUAAGCAAGAUAUUAUUGCCAAUUCAAGAACCUAAGCAAAGUAAAAGUUAUUAUCAAAGUAAAAGCUUGAAAGACAGUAUUAUCCAAAAUCAAUUUUUCAUAAUUGAUGAAUAUAAAGAUUGAUGAUGAAAAACUUAGAGAAAUGCAUUUAAUUGAUAAAAAAUAAAU